CUUGACAUCCAGCGAACUUGGCAGAGAUGCCUUGGUGCCUUCGGGAACGCUGAGACAGGUGCUGCAUGGCUGUCGUCAGCUCGUGUUGUGAAAUGUUGGGUUAAGUCCGCAACGAGCGCAACCCUUAUCCUUUGUUGCCAGCGAUUCGGUCGGGAACUCAAAGGAGACUGCCGGUGAUAAACCGGAGGAAGGUGGGGAUGACGUCAAGUCAUCAUGGCCCUUACGAGUAGGGCUACACACGUGCUACAAUGGCGCAUACAAAGAGAAGCGACCUCGCGAGAGCAAGCGGACCUCAUAAAGUGCGUCGUAGUCCGGAUCGGAGUCUGCAACUCGACUCCGUGAAGUCGGAAUCGCUAGUAAUCGUGGAUCAGAAUGCCACGGUGAAUACGUUCCCGGGCCUUGUACACACCGCCCGUCACACCAUGGGAGUGGGUUGCAAAAGAAGUAGGUAGCUUAACCCUCGGGAGGGCGCUUACCACUUUGUGAUUCAUGACUGGGGUGAAGUCGUAACAAGGUAGGCGUACGUGU
rnacentral:rRNA from 1 species